GGAAGGAGAAGUCGUAACAAGGUUUUGUGUGAUCCUUCCUGCCUGCCGGGCAGUGGUGCUCCACGAAGGGGUGUAUGGGGAUCUGGUUUAGGCCAGCACAUGCCCAUGGCCCCGGCGAGGAGCGCGACGACCCCGGAGGGUUUGAGGAUGGAUGGAAGCCUGAGUACUGGAAGAAGGGACUGGCUUUUGAGGCCCCAUGCGGGUCACACCCGCCUAUUCCCCCCUUUGCUUUUGGUUUCACCGAAGACCCCCUCGCCAUGGCCCUCGCUCUCCUCUGGCUGGGGGAGUCAAGGGUGGGUGAGGCCAUGUUUUCCGGGGGUUUUGGGGGGAGAGAUGAGGGUGAAACUCCAUGGGCCUCGCGCCGCCUUCCGUUUUGCUAGUGCGGUUGGACGGGGGAGGGAGGGAGGAGUGUGGGGGGGUGCAGAGGCGCCUCAGCACGAAAAGGACUCCUCCUCCCCUCUCGUACACUGUGCGACGCCAACAAAUUGCGGGGAGAGAGGAUGAGGAAAGCUUGGCUUAGUUUCUGGCCAAGUGGGAGGAAGGGGGUACCAAGUGCAGGGGAUGGGCUUUCAUGGCCCUGCUCCCCCAGCAUGGCCUGGAGAGGGAACAAACCCACUCCAGGGAAGGGUCAGAAUCCCCCCCUCCCCUUCCGCCCUGACGGGGGAAGGCAUCUCAAUCCGCAGCGGGCCUUCCCUUCUCUCACGCGAGAGAGAGGGUAGCGCCUAGCUCACAGACUAAACGCUGGCGGGCUUCCAUGUCCACGAGCUGCAUCUUCCCAGCCCACCCCGGUUGAGAGAACGAUGUGAGGUGGAAAAGGGAGGCUCAAGAUAUAGUCGGACCUGCCCCUAGGGGAGGGCGAAAGCUAGAUGGGGACUCCGGGAGAAAAGGGGGGGUGCGGCGAGCAAACGGGGGGGAGUUCUAGGCAGCCUU
rnacentral:rRNA from 1 species